GUUAAUCCGAAGGGGACCUGAUGUGCCGGUCAAUGAACUCGAGAUGGCUGAAUGGUUUGUCUUAUACAAUAGUUCAGAAGUGGAUCAAUAUCGAGAGGAACACAAGAACUACAUACAAGGUGAGAGUGAAGUUGACAUCACAAACAGACAACGUAAAGAAUUUCCCAAGUGGUUCAAAGAUCGCAUGACUCAACUUCGAAACCAGCGAUCACCGGAAGCUACUGAUGAAUUAUGGUCAUUGGCCAACGGUCCUCGUC